UACGUAGGGUCCGAGCGUUGUCCGGAAUUACUGGGCGUAAAGAGCUCGUAGGUGGUUUGUCGCGUUGUUCGUGAAAACUCACAGCUUAACUGUGGGCGUGCGGGCGAUACGGGCAGACUAGAGUACUGCAGGGGAGACUGGAAUUCCUGGUGUAGCGGUGGAAUGCGCAGAUAUCAGGAGGAACACCGGUGGCGAAGGCGGGUCUCUGGGCAGUAACUGACGC
rnacentral:rRNA from 1 species